rnacentral:rRNA from 1 species
UACGAAGGGGGCUAGCGUUGCUCGGAAUUACUGGGCGUAAAGCGCACGUAGGCGGUCUUUUAAGUCGGGGGUGAAAUCCUGGAGCUCAACUCCAGAACUGCCUUCGAUACUGAGGAUCUUGAGUUCGGGAGAGGUGAGUGGAACUGCGAGUGUAGAGGUGAAAUUCGUAGAUAUUCGCAAGAACACCAGUGGCGAAGGCGGCUCACUGGCCCGAUACUGACGCUGAGGCACGAAAGCGUGGGGAGCAAACAGG